rnacentral:tRNA from 1 species
GGCGCAUUCGUCUAGCGGCCUAGGACGCCGGCCUCUCAAGCCGGUAACACGGGUUCGAGUCCCGUAUGCGCCACCA